ensembl:lncRNA
GGCUAGCCCCACCGAGACCACCAUGUACAUGGUUCGUUCCACUACAGCGUCAUUUCGUUUUUCACAGUUCAUUGGCGGUAGGGUAAGGCACGUGAUGAGUCAUGACUCGAGUGACAUCCCACCUCACCUUCCGUGCCGCGCGUAAGAAGCCCGGUAGCGAAGAAGAGAAGGAGAAGGAUAACCUUGCUAAAAAACAUCCCGGAGGCACACAUCGAAAACGAAUCGACAACAUGAAUGUGGUAGAUCAUCUAUUGGAGCACAGAUUUGAGACCCUUAGUCUCGAGGAAAAAUUUGAGGAAUCCAUCUGUGCCGCCCAGUUGAUCACCGAGGACGAGGGCUUGGGUCGGCUGGCCCACACGGUGCAGGUCUUGGUGGACCUCGCGCCGACUGCUGCCAGCCACCGCCGCGCUAGCACUGCUCCAUCCUUCUCCUGGCUCCAUGUUGUCCACUGAUUUUGCUGUCAUCCAAAGGAUUUUUGAUGCAAGCUACUACAGGGAGCCAGUGGAGGUCCCGGAAGAGGGGAGUCACAUGGGAGAACUUCGGCCUGUGACUCCGUGGUGCAGCGGAGAGAGCGCACGACUCGAGGCCCUGGAGGUCUGAGUUCAAGUCCCGAUUUAAGCCCCAGUCUCCGGAUUGAAAAUCCCAAGCUCUCCCUGCGGCACCAGACAGUGAGUUCAGAAGUUCAGAGGUUCAGAAGAUCAGAGUUUCAGAAGGUCAGAGGAUAUGACCUAACAUUUUUAAAUACAUAACAUAAUUACAAUAUGGGUUUAAAGAACAUGUCUGCUGCUUCUAUUGUUUGAGUCCUUGUGUUUAUUGUGUUCAAGUAAGGGACUGUUCUUCUAUUGUUUGAGUCCUUGAGUUUAUUGUGUACAUGUGUGGGACUGUUUUUCUGUUUGGUUAAUAACGACUCAGCGGGUUCACUAAAUGUUUUCUGUGUUCAGCAGAGGAUCAAUUUACACUUGAAGUUCGGGGGUUCACUGAAUAAAAAGCACAAUAGAGGCUUCGUCUACAUCUCAGCUUCAUAAUUCUUUUUUUUUUCACCCUGAGCAAGUUUGAAUUCAGAUCAUAGAAAAUUGAGAGAAAGGACUAGUGUUUGAAACGUAAAAUAAAUCCUGUUUCCUUGAAUCGAAGACCGUUAGAGGAACUGGGAGCUGAGUCCCGUUGAACAGCGAAAGAUCCCGCACGGAUGAGCCCCUUCCCACAUGCAGGACUUCAUCAUUCCGUUUCGUCCUCCUCGACCCCUCCGUCCAUCAACAGCGUGUCUUCUUUCAAUCCCCGUUUAUCCAUAUCCAAAGCCGAAACUCAUUGCAAACAUUUUGAUCAUCUGUUUGUCCGAGGAUAUACAACACCAGCAACUCUCACGACCAGUGGCGGUUGGUCAAUUAGGGCGCUAGUGAGCCGCCCCUCUGUGCAAUAUUCACUUGACACUGUUGUUAUUUUUUGGUCGUCAUGAAAAAAAACAAAAGGG